rnacentral:rRNA from 1 species
GCUUGUCUCAAAGAUUAAGCCAUGCAUGUCUAAGUCCAAGCUGUGUUCACACGGCGAGACCGCGGACGGCUCAUUAAAUCAGUCGUGGUCCAAAUGGGCCAGUGCAAAUCCUACUUGGAUAACUGUGGUAAUUCCAGAGCUAAUACAUGCAACUGAUAUCCCGAAGGCGGUGUUUGGGCUUGCUUGCCUUGCGCUGCGCUGCUCUGACGGAUGCUUUUAUUAGACCAAGCCGCUGAGGACUUGAGGGUUCGCGCUCUCUUGUCUGACUCGUGUGAUGGUGACUCUGGAUAACCAAAUUCUGACAAGCGCACGUACUUCUCUUCUGAGCGAGACGGCGCUGCCACUUUCGAGUGUCUGCCUUAUCAGCUAUCAACCGUUCGUUAUGCGCGACCGAUGGCUUUGACGGGUAACGGGGAAUCAGGGUUCGAUUCCGGAGAGGCAGCCUGAGAGACGGCUACCACGUCCAAGGACGGCAGCAGGCACGCAAAUUACCCAAUCCCAGCAAAUGGGGGAGGUAGUGACGAAAUCUAACGAUGCGGGCGCCCUUUCUGGGGCCCCGCAAUCGGAAUGGGCACUUUCUAAACAACCUGUUGAGAACCUACUGAA